rnacentral:rRNA from 1 species
GAUGAACGCUGGCGGCGUGCCUAAUACAUGCAGGUCGAGCGAACAGACGAGGAGCUUGCUCCUCUGACGUUAGCGGCGGACGGGUGAGUAACACGUGGAUAACCUACCUAUAAGACUGGGAUAACUUCGGGAAACCGGAGCUAAUACCGGAUAAUAUAUUGAACCGCAUGGUUCAAUAGUGAAAGACGGUUUUGCUGUCACUUAUAGAUGGAUCCGCGCCGCAUUAGCUAGUUGGUAAGGUAACGGCUUACCAAGUCAACGAUGCGUAGCCGACCUGAGAGGGUGAUCGGCCACACUGGAACUGAGACACGGUCCAGACUCCUACGGGAGGCAGCAGUAGGGAAUCUUCCGCAAUGGGCGAAAGCCUGACGGAGCAACGCCGCGUGAGUGAUGAAGGUCUUCGGAUCGUAAAACUCUGUUAUUAGGGAAGAACAAAUGUGUAAGUAACUAUGCACGUCUUGACGGUACCUAAUCAGAAAGCCACGGCUAACUACGUG